AUUGAACGCUGGCGGAAUGCUUUACACAUGCAAGUCGAGCGGCAGCGCGGGGGCAACCCUGGCGGCGAGCGGCGAACGGGUGAGUAAUACAUCGGAACGUGUCCUUGAGUGGGGGAUAGCUCGGCGAAAGCCGGAUUAAUACCGCAUAAGCUCUGCGGAGGAAAGCGGGGGACUGGUAACGGCCUCGCGCUGUUGGAGCGGCCGAUGUCGGAUUAGCUAGGUUGGUGGGGUAAAGGCCCACCAAGGCGACGAUCCGUAGCUGGUCUGAGAGGAUGAUCAGCCACACUGGAACUGAGACACGGGUCCAGACUCCUACGGGGAGGCAGCAAUGGGGAAUUUUGGACAAUGGGGGGCAACCCUGAUCCAGCCAUUCCGCGUGAGUGAAGAAGGCCUUCGG
rnacentral:rRNA from 1 species